rnacentral:lncRNA from 1 species
AUCCUAGACUCUUACGGGAUUUUGCCUUUCUUCAUAAUUCUACGUCCCAAAACAUGCAAAAAAAAUAUGGGAUGCCCCUUCUCAUAUUUUUUUCAUGGUAAAUCAGUUAUCUAGCUGAUCUCCCAUGAAAAAUCUCCUCAAAAUAUUGCACAUAUAAGGAAAAAAAAAAUUUAUUGGUAUGGAGAGAUUGAUUUGGAUGAGAACAGAUUCUCUUGAUAAAGAAUAUUUUGAAAUCUAAUUUCAGAACCUUUCUUUUAUGGGUUGGCAC